rnacentral:rRNA from 1 species
GUGGGGAAUAUUGGACAAUGGGCGAAAGCCUGAUCCAGCCAUGCCGCGUGUGUGAAGAAGGUCUUCGGAUUGUAAAGCACUUUAAGUUGGGAGGAAGGGCAGUAAGUUAAUACCUUGCUGUUUUGACGUUACCGACAGAAUAAGCCCCGGCUAACUACGUGCCAGCAGCCGCGGUAAUACGUAGGGGGCAAGCGUUGUCCGGAAUGAUUGGGCGUAAAGGGCGCGUAGGCGGCAUGGUAAGUCUGGAGUGAAAGUCCUGCUUUUAAGGUGGGAAUGGCUUUGGAUACUGUCGGGCUUGAGUGCAGGAGAGGUAAGUGGAAUUCCCGGUGUAGCGGUGAAAUGCGUAGAGAUCGGGAGGAACACCAGUGGCGAAGGCGACUUACUGGACUGUAACUGACGCUGAGGCGCGAAAGUGUGGGGAGCAAACAGGAUUAGAAACCCCUGUAGUCC